UCGCCUUUAUGUCUAAGAAACUAAGAAUCCAUAUUGAUGCAUAUAAAUGUAAAUGAAGCAUGUAAAUGAUGCAUGUAACUAAAUAAUGCAUGUUGAUAGUAUGAUGUAAAUGCUAAAUAGAAUGCAUUAUGAGCAAGUUACAUAAUGCUAAAUAAUGUAAUGUAGAAAUGCUAGAAUGCAUUAUGAGCAAGUUACAUAAUGCUAAAUAAUGUAAUGUAGAAAUGCUAGAAUGCAUAAUGAGCAAGUUAUAUGAUGCAUGUUUAUAGUACGAUGUAAAUGCUAAGUAGAUGCAUAUAAAUGAUAUAUGAGAUUAUAAACGCAUGAUUAGCAUUAUGAGAUCAUAGAUGCAUGCUUAGCAUUGUGAGAUUAUAUAUGCAUAUGAACUUGGCUGAUAACUCUAGCUUGAAUAGAGAGAUAACAUUGAAAAAUGAGAAUUGAUGACUCUAGAAUGAGUAGAAUGCUUAAUUGGACAAUUAGUAUGUGAAUUAGAUCGAGUGGCAUCUAACUUAGUGUUAAGGAACAUAGGUCGUGAGUAGACCUAUAAUCAAAUAGAUCGAGUGGCAUCUAACCUAGUGUUAUUAAACAUAGGUCGUGAAAUGAAAAGUACUUAACCUAGAGUCAAGUGAACCAAGGUUAGAAAGAAUAAUGAUCCUAGUGUAAUAAACCUAGGUUAAGAAUGUGAAAGCAAUAAAUCUAAUGGGUGAACUUAGGUUGAGUAAAGGCUUAGACCUAGAGAGGUCAGUUCCAUAGGGUUAAGACCAACCCCUAUGUGAUCUGAAAUGGAUUCCGGAAUCCCAAGGCUAAAAGGAUACACCCAAAGUGGUGUCGGGUGUGUGCGAUGAUUGCGCCGCCCAAGGGCUAAAGAACCUUUGUCGUGGCGUGUGCGACGAUUUCGCCGCCGGAUGGUUAGCCAGUUUGUGGAUCCUACCGCCUGUUGACUGAACCACUGUCGUGGUGUUUGUGCGACGAUUUCGCCGCCGGGUGGCUAAGUCAUGGACCUAGGCCGUUGUUGGGUGAGGUGCGAUUCGUCCGCCGCCAGACGGCUAGGACAGGAGUACGGUGAGCUGUUGCCAGCUGAGGUGCAUGUGAGAGUUCCUUCACCUCGAGCUAGACAGUGCGCGGACUAUCCGCGAUUGAUUGACUCAAGACCGAGUCGGGUGGCAUAGAGAACUAAGGUAAGAGAAACCUUAGGAAAGAAUGGCCAGUAGAAAAGUGCGACAAAGUGUAAAGAAUAAAGAAUAAGUAAAGAAUAAAGUUCGGCUAAGGAAUAAGAAUAGCUGAUUAGUAAAGAAAGGUUACAAGUAAAGAAUAGCUAAGAGCUAAAAGUAAUUAAAUGACAAGAGUAAAGAAUGAUUAAGAAUAUAAGUAGCGUUAAAGUAACCUACUUGCAUGAUUACAGGUAUUGCAUAUUGCAUUUCGUGAGGCAUGACAUGUAUUUCAAUUGAAUAUAUAUAUCUGUUGUAUAUUGUUGAACUAACAUGUUGCAGUGCCUCGUUAGACCUGUUGGUUGAGCUGGUUCUCUUGGGUGGCUAAACCCACUGAGGACUAUGGACAAUAGUCUCACCCCCGUGUUGCUGUUUUGGGGGUACAGGUACACACGUGUGCGGCGCGGCGGCGCAAGGCGAGGGCGUAGUUCUGCAGAUAGCGCCCUACCCCAGAGACCAGAGCUAGCAGUACCCCAUCUAUAUAGCUUAGGGGUAAAGGAAAUGAAAAGAAUACAAUGUAUCAAACUUGUAGUAAGUAAAUGUUGUAAUAACUUAGAUUGCAUUUGGAUGAAAAAGAAUGGAAACUGUGAUGUAAAAACUAUGAAAGUGAAUGAAUGUAAUAACUUAGGAUGUGUUUAUGUUGUAUGAUACCUUCCACUUGAAAUCUUGAUUGAUAUCCGUUCCUGGUUGGAACCUUCGUGAAUUGUAUUGAUUGCGAUGCUUUGAAUGUACAGGGGAGACUCUGUCCGUAGUACAAGGGAAACCUUGUCCAUUCGGCGAUGUCGGCGGCGCCGGGACCUUGGCCAAAUAGGCGGGUGGUCGCGGGCUGUGACAGUUGUGGUAUCAGAGCAUAAAGUAGAGAAUGGGAAUGGCUUAGACUGACCUAGGAGACCCUAGGAUAGUAAAACCAUAGAAGAAUAAGGCUCGUGAGAGACGAGGACUCAUGAUUCGUGGCGAAAGGUUAAUGGAUUGGGUUGUGUUGUAAACCUCUAAGACGGAUAUUAGAGGUAGACUCGAGGUGUUGUUUAUUCUCAGCCAAGGAUGUUCAUGUUGGGCGUACGACAACAUGAAACCGAGUGAUGUGAAUAAACACCCUUGCGUGACUUUCGCCUGAUUGGCUUUUGAGCCGGUGUUAGUGGUCUCGUGUUCGACCCAAGUUGGUCGAGAACUAAUCGAGUUGUCGUGUUUCAGGAAGCGAUGGCACCGCGUAGGCGAUCUUCUUCCAGAUCGGCGCGGGAGGGGACAAGUGGUGUUCCCGAGCAAGUCGACGCGAGCGAAGGCGCAGAGCUUCGUGAUCAGUUGGCCACACUCAUUGGAGUGAUGAGGCAACAAGCUGAUGUGGUGCAGAGGCAGCAGGAGGCUGCUAUGCGCCAGGAAGAGCGAAUGGAAAGACUCCAAGAAACGGUGGACCAGCUGGUGGGUGCACCAGCUGCGGCUCGUCGAGAACGGCCGGGAGUCGCGGCGGAGAUGUUCCCGUCGGGGUCGGGCGAUCCGACUCCUGUUAGUUCAGAGGUGGCGGCAGAAAGGGAGCGAGCUUUGGCUGCCCUCAUGGCUUUCAAGAAAUUUGAUCCGCCUACCUUCGAUGGUGAGGAUCCAGAUCCGUGGAUCGUGGAGAUGUGGAUUGAUGCCAUGGAAACGCUCUUCGAGGAUCUGUACACGUUGGAGCGAGACAAGGUAAACCUAGUCGCGCAUUAUCUCAAACAGUCGACGAAGGUGUAGUGGAAAGGCGUCAAGCAUGAUCGACCGCCUAGUCUCCCUCCUAUGACGUGGGAAGAAUUUCGGGGAUUGGUGUUCUCUGCUUAUUUCCCCGAUAGCGAGAAGCGGAAGCUCAAGGAAAGGUUCCUUAAGCUGCGGCAAGGAAGUCGCACGGUCAGGCAAUAGGAGCGGGAGUUUUUCCGUAUCGUGCAUUGUAUCCCAAACGUGGUGCGAGAUGACAAGGACAGGGCCGACUGCUUCGUGCGUGGACUUCAGCCAGAUCUUUACCAGGCGGUGCUGGUACUCAAGUUGCAGAUUUUUGCUGAAGUCCUGGAUCGGGCCUUGUGGAUAGAACAGGGCAACGCCUUUAUGCGGGAAGAGCGAGAGGCAUAUUACAAGGAAAAGGGGAAAGGACGACCGACAGGUGGAUCCAGUAGUCAGUCAAGUUCCCAACGGACUUUGACGAGUUCGCACUCGCGAUCCCGAGCUCCGGGGACAUACCGCAUUCAGUCCUCGGCGAAAUGUGCUAUUUGUGGAGGCCCUCAUUUCCCACGACAGUGUGAGCAACGUGAAGGCAAGUACUUCAAGUGUGGGCUGCCGGGUCAUAUGUGGGACGAGUGUCCGCGUGGUGACGGCCGGGCCUUGACACUGGCGACGGCCCAUCCCUCUCUGGGACAACCUGCAGGUGUGCCACCUGCGGCAUGGUCGGGAGAGCGGCCGUUGAGGACGAUGCAACCAGAGGGUUCGCGACGAGCGCCAGGUGGGCAUCGGUAAGCGACCCGAGUUGCAGAGCCUGCCGUUGCUGACGUCAUCGUGGCAGGUAUGAGUUAAUUGAGCAAGCAUGUGCUUUUACUAAUCUCAAGUUGGUGCAUAGCAUGCAUUUGUUGUUGGUCGGUUGCUACUAAUUAUAUAUUGCAUAGUAGGGACCGAAUAGUCGGGUAAGUAGACGCCCGUACAUGCUUGCAUUGUGAGAAGUGGCACCUGCUGGUGCAAGUAGAAAGCCAAGUGGUGCUAGCUAAUGGCUAGUGAUGAUUCUCCGGUACGGAAUGAGGCUCGUGGAGAACAUGGUCUAGUAAGUGACUCUCGAAAUAAUGGGUUGAAAAUUGUGAGAGUUGAGCCUUGAUGUUGAGGAUACUCGAAAGACACGGGAGUUGAGAAUGUAUUCCGGUAGAUCGAACAGUGAAGGUAGAAUCACUGUUGAGAGAGUAACCGUAUAGUUGCCGAAUACGGGCACGUAGGCCUAGUAGUACCUCAAGUUGAGGUCGGCGAGUCCUGCUCGUGUAGUCGGUGUGCAUAGGCAAGGUUGCCUGAUGCUAGAUUUCGUGGAACGCUUUAGAGGCGUAGAGCGCUCGAGUGUAGUUACUCGUGAAGUGCGGUUUUGAUUCAGCCGGUUGAGUGAAUUGGCAGUAGCACUUUAGCAGGGCUAAGUGUGAAGCGGGCCAUGGAUCACUCGUAGGGCUGGUGGCUCGCACUAGGUACCUGGGGGCCGAUAGAGUGUGUAGCUCUGUAGAGCAUGUCGUUUAGGACGACGACGACGAGUGGUGCUUGAGGAUGACCCGUGCCUGGACCGUUUGUGAACUGUGUAGCCUGGGCCCAUUGGGCAGGCGCAGUCAGCUGUGAGAGACAGCGGCCCGAUACCUACUGGUAGGGCAUAGUGUUGGUCAGGACGGUAGUCCGAGCUUGGACAUAAGUACGUGGAAUGCCACGCGAUAGAUCGUGAGAUUGAUGGCACACCAAGUGUGUAGUGACCCAACCCGAGGACUUGACGUGGUCUAGGAUCUUGGUUGCACCUGGUUGGAGUGUGUGUGAAUUCUCCAAUGAGAAUUUCGCCCAAUGAUGAUUGGAUCUACGAUGCGGGCAAGAGACGCUAUGCGUAGUUGUGACAGGUAUAGGCGGUAGGCCUACGUAAUGAUUAUGAUCGUUGGUCCGCCUGUGAAAACCGAUGAUCAGUGCGGCAAGCAACUCUGUUAGUGAGUUGGGCUUGGAUUCACGAACGGAGGGUUCGUGUGAUGUUGAACGUGGCUUGUGGUAGUAAAGGAUAAAGAGAAAAGUAAAGUGUUCUCUAGGAGACACUUGAAUAAGAAAUAGCCACGUGAGGGUUGGUGUAAGGAAGUGAAUUCUCGAAAUGCGAGAGUUGGACUUCGCUCAAAAUCGACAAAUUGUCGAGUGGUUGUGCUUCGGAAAUGCCGAAGAGGUCAAAUACACCAAAGGUGCAUUGCAACGGAUCUGCGAGAGCAAGUGUGCAAAAAUCUGCACUUGGCAGAUUUGCUCUCGGGGACCGAUCCCUGUCAAGGAAGGACCGGUCCCCCGUAGCUGGUUGGUGCGAGGUUGCGUGAUGCAACCGGUCCCUUGGCCAGAGGGACCGGUCCCCCGUAUGCGAAACCGGCGAGAAGAGGAAAUUGGCUAAGUCCUGCGAGAGCAAGCUCUCGGGGACCGGUCUCUAGUGGACAGACCGGUCUCCGGGGGACCGGUCCUCCAGGGACAGACCGGUUCCCGUAAGUGUGUUCAGGCUGAAGGCUCUCGGGGACCGGUCCCUGGCAGGGAGAGACCGGUCCCUCUACACAUAAAAUUUUCCAGGCAGGCUGGGUCAUGUUGGAGGAGUUGGAAUUGUUUGAGUUUCGAGGACGAAACUCUUAUAAGGAGGGGAGAAUGUAACAUACCGAAUUUUAAAUAUAAAAGAGAAAAAUAAAUAAAAAUAGUAUGAGAUACUAUUUUAUUGGAUUUAGAGAAGUGAAAUAUCGGUUGGGAACGACCUGUGCUGAAAUCGGAGCGAAAACAGAAGAUUUAGAAUUUUCUGUUGGAAACGGGACUGAUAAAUUAGCAGAAAAUGCACAGUCUCAGAAAAUUAUAAAAAAUUAGAGGAUAAGUCAGAAAUAUUUUUAUGAGGCUAGAUUUGAAGUUUCAUAUUUUUCUGACGCCCGUAGAGAGAGAAAUAGCAUCCGAAAGCUAUCUGAUAAAGAUUGCAGUUCGGUACAGUUUUCAGUGACCAAACGGGGUCGAAACUGAAAUAUUAAAAUUUCUUUGGACUUAUUAAGUAAAACCGAGCAUGCCUGUCAAAUUUGAGCUCAAACGGACAUUCAGAAGGGCUCCGGCGAAAAAUAAACUGCCCGAAGUGAAUAGUGCGUAGUUGAGGGGCAAAAUGGUAAAAAGGGUUUAAAACCCCUUUUCUUCUUCUCCUCCCAACCGUGGCUGCCCCAACCGCACACACCACACACGCAUACACAAGAACACACACACGCAUGGAAAGGAAAGGAGAGAAAUCCCUUUCUCUCUCUAAAUCUCUCCCAAAAUGGAUGGAUUUGGUGGAGAUUGAAGCUUGGAGGUGGAUCGCCUUCGUCUUCUUCAUCUUCUCCAUGGUUUGGAGCUCAUUUUGAGGUGAGCUUCUUGAGCCCUUUAAUGGUAGAUCUUUAAUGCUUGGUUUAAAUACCUUAUAAAUGGAUUUAGAGGAGUCCUAGCAUGCUAUCUAGAUGAUUAAUGCUUGAAUCAUGGAUCAAUUUAGUGAUUUCUUGCAUAGUUGUAACCUAGGGCUCCAAAAUGCAAACUUUCAAAAUAUGAGGGUUUGAUCUCAUUUGACCCUUCGUAAACCUAAUUGCUAGGUAACGAAACGCGUUGGCGAAGACGGUUCGGCAAUCCGACGAGCCGUUACAAAGUUAUUAAAGAAAUGGACGUUUAGGCUUCGGGUCCGCCGGGAGGGCCGAGGCGACGUCGUAAAAUCAUGGAAAUGGAUUUGAGGCAUCGUGGCACAUAACCGAAGACCUAUAAUUUUCGGGGCUGCGAAGCGGAGCACGGUUGAGGCGCAGUUGCAGUAUCGGGCCGUGCCGGAUACGGGUGCCGCGGGAGGCCGAUUGCAAGUGUCGACAAGCAAUCGGAACGCGAAUUAAGGUGGGUUGUGUUUACCGAAGCGACUAGGUCGCCUUUAUGUCUAAGAAACUAAGAAUCCAUGUUGAUGCAUAUAAAUGUAAAUGAAGCAUGUAAAUGAUGCAUGUAGCUAAAUAAUGCAUGUUGAUAGUAUGAUGUAAAUGCUAAAUAGAAUGCAUUAUGAGCAAGUUACAUAAUGCUAAAUAAUGUAAUGUAGAAAUGCUAGAAUGCAUUAUGAGCAAGUUACAUAAUGCUAAAUAAUGUAAUGUAGAAAUGCUAGAAUGCAUAAUGAGCAAGUUAUAUGAUGCAUGUUUAUAGUAUGAUGUAAAUGCUAAGUAGAUGCAUAUAAAUGAUAUAUGAGAUUAUAAACGCAUGAUUAGCAUUAUGAGAUCAUAGAUGCAUGCUUAGCAUUGUGAGAUUAUAUAUGCAUAUGAACUUGGUUGAUAACUCUAGCUUGAUUAGAGAGAUAACAUUGGAAAAUGAGAAUUGAUAACUCUAGAAUGAGUAGAAUGCUUAAUUGGACAAUUAGUAUGUGAAUUAGAUCGAGUGGCAUCUAACUUAGUGUUAAGGAACAUAGGUCGUGAGUAGACCUAGAAUCAAAUAGAUCGAGUGGCAUCUAACCUAGUGUUAAUAAACAUAGGUCGUGAAAUGAAAAGUACUUAACCUAGAGUCAAGUGAACCUAGGUUGGAAAGAAUAAUGAUCCUAGUGUAAUAAACCUAGGUUAAGAAUGUGAAAGCAAUAAACCUAAUGGGUGAACUUAGGUUGAGUAAAGGCUUAGACCUAGAGAGGUCAGUUCCAUAGGGUUAAGACCAACCCCUAUGUGAUGUGAAAUGGAUUCCGGAAUCCCAAGGCUAAAAGGAUACACCCAAAGUGGUGUCGGGUGUGUGCGACGAUUUCGCCGCCCAAGGGCUAAAGAACCAUUGUCGUGGCGUGUGCGACGAUUUCGCCGCCGGAUGGUUAGCCAGUUUGUGGAUCCUACCGCCUGUUGACUGAACCACUGUCGUGGCGUUUGUGCGACGAUUUCGCCGCCGGGUGGCUAAGUCAUGGACCUAGGCCGUUGUUGGGUGAGGUGCGAUUCGUUCGCCGCCAGACGGCUAGGACAGGAGUACGGUGAGCUGUUGCCAGCUGAGGUGCAUGUGAGAGUUCCUUCACCUCGAGCUAGACAGUGCGCGGACUAUCCGCGAUUGAUUGACUGAAGACCGAGUCGGGUGGCAUAGAGAACUAAGGUAAGAGAAACCUUAGGAAAGAAUGGCCAGUAGAAAAGUGCGACAAAGUGUUAAGAAUAAAGAAUAAGUAAAGAAUAAAGAUCGGCUAAGGAAUAAGAAUAGCUGAUUAGUAAAGAAAGGUUACAAGUAAAGAAUAGCUAAGAGCUAAAAGUAAACAUUAAAUGACAAGAGUAAAGAAUGAUUAAGAAUAUAAGUAGCGUUAAAGUAACCUACUUGCAUGAUUACAGGUAUUGCAUAUUGCAUUUCGUGAGGCAUGACAUGUAUUUCAAUUGAAUAUAUAUAUCUGUUGUAUAUUGUUGAACUAACAUGUUGCAGUGCCUCGUUAGACCUGUUGGUUGAGCUGGUUCUCUUGGGUGGCUAAACCCACUGAGGACUAUGGACAAUAGUCUCACCCCCGUGUUGCUGUUUUGGGGGUACAGGUACACACGUGUGCGGCGCGGCGGCGCAAGGCGA
rnacentral:lncRNA from 1 species